AGAGGUAAGAGGUACUACAGGGGUAGGAGUGAAAUCUUGGUAAUCCCUGUGGGACCACCUGUGGCGAAGGCGUCUUACCAGAACGGGUUCGACGGUGAGGGACGAAAGCUGGGGGCACGAACCGGAUUAGAUACCCGGGUAGUCCCAGCCGUAAACGAUGCUCGCUAGGUGUCAGGCAUGGCGCGACCGUGUCUGGUGCCGCAGGGAAGCCGUGAAGCGAGCCACCUGGGAAGUACGGCCGCAAGGCUGAAACUUAAAGGAAUUGGCGGGGGAGCACAACAACGGGUGGAGCCCUGCGGUUUAAUUGGACUCAACGCCGGACAACUCACCGGGGGCGACAGCAAUAUGUAGGCCAAGCUGAAGACUUUGCCUGAAUCGCUGAGAAGUGGUGCAUGG
rnacentral:rRNA from 1 species